UACAGAGGUCUCAAGCGUUUGUUCGGAUUCAUUGGGCGUAAAGGGCGCGUAGGCGGCCUGAUAAGUAGGGGGUGAAAUCCUGCGGCUUAACCGCAGGGCUGCCUUCUAAACUGUCAGGCUGGAGCACAGUAGAGGCAGGUGGAAUUCCCGGUGUAGCGGUGGAAUGCGUAGAGAUCGGGAAGAACAUCAGUGGCGAAGGCGGCCUGCUGGGCUGUUGCUGACGCUGAGGCGCGACAGCGUGGGGGAGCAAACAGG
rnacentral:rRNA from 1 species